rnacentral:rRNA from 1 species
CACCACCACCCACCACGAGCUACUGACCGCUACCGCUGCUGGGCACCCUCUUUGCGAGGAACCUAGUGAGAGGAGGCGUGCAACAGGUGAAAAACAGAGGGUGCUCGAGAGGAGGGUACCGCGAUAAAGAAGAGCGGAGGGGGCGCCUAGGGGAGCGGGGUAAGGAGGGGGAGAGCUCGAGGAGAAGGGGCUUCGGAGUAGGAGGGCCGGUGGCACUGUGGAGCACCACCUCAAGCUGGCACGUGGUGGCUGGCUGCGGCCCCGCCGGUGCAUACCCGGGACCCAGCGGGCUAGAUCGGGGCCCCCCGGGCCUAGCCGUCUUCCGCCGCGAAGGCCGCUCUCCACCAGUAAAAGAAGCACUGGGCGUACAGCUAGAAGAGUAGACCACACACGGGCGGCCGUCUAACCCACCGGACAACGAGCCAGUCUAUUUAACAAACUAGUAAAACACAAGUAGUUUACAGUGUUAUGUUGUUCUCUAAGUUCCCUUUGUUCUAUGUACGUACCCGAUAGACUACACAUGGUUCGACUACACAUGUCUAUUUAAGAAAAAGGUUAUAGGAGUGUCUUCUGUCGUUUUUUCGAGAUAGAUACGGAAAACCCUUGAAGAUACGGAUGACUUAUAGGAGCGCUCUGACUGCCUGUAUGACUGACUUAAGUCGAGAUAAAGUCCGGUUAGCCAUCCCGCGAAUCAGUUCCCGACCGGUAUCCGAUUUACGUAUACAACCAGAUGAUACUACUACGCGGGUACCAUUUGACGAAGUGUAGAAAACGAAUACAUCUUACAACACAAACACAGUCGGCUUUGACUACGUUUUGGUACACACACGAAGCACAGACAUCAGUUGGCUUUAAUCGAGACAGCACGGUGAUCACGUUACGUUAACAAUUAGAUAUGGCUGAACACCUUCACAGUGUGGUCUUAAGGUCCUUGUCUAUUUCAAUGACACGGGAAUCGAAAUCAUUGAGUUAGAGAACUCGAAUUAAACGGCCCAAACAAAUACUCGUCUAAACCAAGGGAAAGAACGUUGACCUGGAUGGAUCAACGUAAGUUAAAUAUAGUACUGUUUUAACGAAUAUAUGCAUGGUUAUUUAUUUAGUAGCAAACUAGUAUAUUAUACAAUAUAUACGGUGGGUUUUUACGAUAUACGGCCUUCACGGUGGCGUUCGUAGGUUUUGAUGUACAAGACCAUCAUCACGAUUAUUUUUGCUUCUCGAUUCUUUUUCUUAUACUUUGUAUAGAAUGUUAUCAUACCAAACAAAAUUUUGGUUGAGAGCUCUUCGAUUUUAAGUCCGUUCGUACUUUUUUGACCGAUAGUUAACCAAAAAUAGGUUUUAAACCAUUACGGCGUUCUUUAUGUACCUUGUCGUUGUCUAUUUUCUAAGGAAGGAAGUCUUCGGCUAGCAAAACAGUUCUUGAUUUAACGUUUAUGUUUUCGCGCAUCAGUCAAAGAUGGUCGUAAAAAGUACAACCCUUCUAUAGUAUAAAAAAAGAGAAAAUCUUCUUCGUCUGUACGUGCUGUUUAAAGUCACGAAUGAUUUAGGCCCUCACACGAACCCAUCUUUUAUGUUGUCCGAAGGUUAUAAAAAUCCUAUCUUCGUUACCCCUUACGUGUUUGAACGUGACACUAUAUAAGGGGUUCUUUUCAAACUAAAACUUGGUGUCAGAAUAAGAGUUUCGGUUGGGUACUACUUCGCGAAAAACUCCCUUUCAUGACUUAAAGUGACCAUACGAACUAACCAGGUGUGCCCUUUUUAAUGUGUUUGUCGUGACUUCACCUACCUAAAAGGUACGUUAGAGUCUGUACUUGGUGUACUUUCAUAUAAAUUUGGCCCAUUGUAACAGUCGUACAUUCGAUGUUUAGAAAUAGAUCUGCCUCUACUUGGCCUGUUGGUCGUGUGACUUGAACUAGGUUC